rnacentral:rRNA from 1 species
UGCCAGCCGCCGCGGUAACACGUAGGACCCGAGCGUUAUCCGGAUUUACUGGGCGUAAAGCGCACGUAGGCGGACUGUUAAGUUAGAGGUGAAAUCCCGGGGCUCAACCCCGGAACUGCCUUUAAUACUGGCAGUCUAGAGUUCGAGAGAGGUGAGUGGAAUUCCGAGUGUAGAGGUGAAAUUCGUAGAUAUUCGGAAGAACACCAGUGGCGAAGGCGGCUCACUGGCUCGAUACUGACGCUGAGGUGCGAAAGUGUGGGGAGCAAACAGGAUUAGAUA